rnacentral:rRNA from 1 species
UGGAUGAGUGGCGAACGGGUGAGUAACACGUGAGUAACCUGCCCCCUUCUUCUGGAUAACCGCAUGAAAGUGUGGCUAAUACGGGAUAUUCUGUGCCUGCUGCAUGGUGGGUGUGGGAAAGAUGCGCCUUUGGGUGUUUUUGGUGGGGGAUGGGCUCGCGGCCUAUCAGCUUGUUGGUGGGGUGAUGGCCUACCAAGGCGGUGACGGGUAGCCGGCCUGAGAGGGUGGACGGUCACACUGGGACUGAGACACGGCCCAGACUCCUACGGGAGGCAGCAGUGGGGAAUAUUGCACAAUGGGCGCAAGCCUGAUGCAGCGACGCCGCGUGAGGGAUGGAGGCCUUCGGGUUGUAAACCUCUUUCGCCAGUGAAGCAGGCCUGUCCCUUGUGGGUGGGUUGACGGUAGCUGGAUAAGAAGCGCCGGCUAACUACGUGCCAGCAGCCGCGGUAAUACGUAGGGCGCGAGCGUUGUCCGGAAUUAUUGGGCGUAAAGAGCUCGUAGGCGGCUGGUCGCGUCUGUCGUGAAAUCCUCUGGCUUAACUGGGGGCUUGCGGUGGGUACGGGCCGGCUUGAGUGCGGUAGGGGAGACUGGAACUCCUGGUGUAGCGGUGGAAUGCGCAGAUAUCA